CUCAACUCACUCUCAGAGCGACAACCCCAACCCUAAUCUGCCGCCCCCUUUUCCACCGCCUCGAACCCAGAGGCGCCACUACCAAAACACCACCAAAAUUACACCCCAUAACUACCAAAACCCCCUCUUCCCAAAUCCUUACUCCAUUCCCCUCGAAUAUGGCUGAAACUCUUCGAAUUGUGAAUCUAGGGUUCGAGCCCUUGAAGUCAAAGACGAAUUCAUUCAUGCAAGGUUGAUGCUCCAUGUUUCACAUGAGUUUUAGGGUCGAUUUUAUCACGAAAUAGCGUCACUCGCUUGUUCUUGACAAAGGACAAGCCAUUAACGUUAUUUCGAGAUUUAGAUCGGAAGGUCAGUCUUGAGGUCGAGCCUGAAUCAGUAUGCCUUUGAGACUGUCAUGGAAUUGAAGCCUGACUGAAUCGGUGUAAAGAUCUGGAAACUUGAGUUGGAAUUUAAAUGAAAACACUAUCUCUUGUUGUAAUUACUGCUAGAUUUGGUUAUCUUACGUUAGUAAAUUCCCCAGCUCUAUAGUAACUUAAUUUUCUUGCAUGUGUUGGUUUGCUUGUUCAUGCUAUUAGUUUAAGGCUGUGUUGGCUAUUUAGAAUAGAGGUUUAAAUUCAGAAUGUCGGCAUUGUAAUAAGGAUUGAGAUCUAUCAUAUGAGUGGAUUGUCAGACAUGCUAUAGUGGAAGGUUGUUUGAGUGUGUUAAGUUAGUGUUCCUGUAGUUUGAGGUCUUACUUUGCAAUUUGGAAAGUUUUGCAGCAUUUUACAUAGUUAAAACUGCCAUUUAAAUGGCCUGAGUGAGCUUAAAUUUCCAAUGUUUGUUGUGAGAAUAAUUUAGAAAUUAAUUGCAAGUA